rnacentral:rRNA from 1 species
UACGUAGGGUCCUAGCGUUGUCCGGAUUUAUUGGGCGUAAAGAGCUCGUAGGCGGUUCGGCAAGUCGGAUGUGAAAUCUCCACGCUUAACGUGGAGGGGCCAUUCGAAACUGCUGUGACUCGAGUCCGGUAGGGGAGUGUGGAAUUCCCGGUGUAGCGGUGAAAUGCGCAGAUAUCGGGAGGAACGCCAGUAGCGAAGGCGGCACUCUGGGCCGGUACUGACGCUGAGGAGCGAAAGCGUGGGGAGCGAACAGG